GACAAUGAGAGAGAGAGAGAGAGAGAGAGAGAGAGAGAGAGAGAGACAAUGAGCGCUGCUGGUUUUGCUUCAUUAGAAUUCUUCAGUCAGUUCAACUGAGGCACAGUCGUCUCGUCACGAGCUCAGAUUCCUGUUUCAUGAGGUCUAAUGAGUCGCUUUCUUUUCCUUUUCAUAACUGUCACAGUGUUUCUGUUUCUCUCCGUAGAUGCAACUUUACAUUCUCAUAAUAUUGAUGGACAGUUCAGCUGAAGCAGCGUUUGUACAGUUUCAUGAGAAUUAGAAAAUCCAAACCAAAAGUCUUCUUUGGUGGAUCGGUGUUUUCUGAACAUGACACGUGAUGAAGACGUCUGUGGAAACAAAAUCUCUCCCCACAUCCAUUAUGUACAAGUCCUCAAACAGGAAAUCCCCCAAGAACGAAAACAAGGAAAUUCACUGGAGCUCAGCUCCUUUCUGGAGAAGUCACCAGAUCAGCUGCUGUGAUGUCACAGAAUCGUGUUAUCAUACAUGACAUGAAGUCAUGAUCCGUCAUGAACAGGAAGCUCGCAGCGUUAUUAGUUCGGCCUAGUAAACAGCAUCAUCACUGACAGUUUUCCUCUUCUACCAACUGAACAUUCUGAGGACAAAUGUGUCUUAGAAUAGGAUGAAACGUUUGUCACAUGCUGCAGAACUUCUUCUUUUAAACAGAUGAAUCCAGUCGCGUGGGACGUUGAGGACGAUGGGUAGUUGAUUGAUAAAUCGAUUAUUGGCGACCAGAUAUAAAAAACAAUGUGACACCUUCUCUUUAGAUCUAGAACAAAAAAGAAAAGACACCGACUCUUCACAUUUAAAUACAUAUGAUCAUAGUUUUCCCCUCAUCAAAACAAAAAUGAAAUAUAGUAUAGAAAUAUCUACAUGUUUAUACAGAUACAUAUUUACAAGGCAAACGGCUCCAACAGUUCGUUGGAGGUGAUGUCAUCCGCUGUAAAUCUAAAAUAUAAUUUUCCAACAUUG